UACGGGGGGUGCGAGCGUUGUCCGGAAUCACUGGGCGUAAAGGGCGCGUAGGUGGCGUGAUAAGGGUGUGGUGAAAGCCCGGGGCUCAACCCCGGGUCUGCCAUGCCGACUGUCAGGCUAGAGUACUGUAGGGGCAGGCGGAAUUCCGGGUGUAGCGGUGGAAUGCGUAGAGAUCCGGAGGAAGACCGGUGGCGAAGGCGGCCUGCUGGGCAGUUACUGACACUGAGGCGCGACAGCGUGGGAACAACAGG
rnacentral:rRNA from 1 species